UGGUUGAUCCUGCCAGUGAUAUAUGCUUGUCUCAAAGAUUAAGCCAUGCAUGUCUAAGUACAAAGUACCCUUGGACUUGAAACUGCGGAUAGCUCAUUAUCUCAGUCAUAGUUCCCUUGAAUGAACCAGUUAUAUGGAUAACUGUGGCAAUUCUAGAGCUAAUACAUGCAACCAAGCCUGACUGGAAACGGAAGGGCUGCAUUUAUUAGCUCAAACCAAUGUGUGGGCUCUUCUCUCUGGGAGGAGCCUGCAACAACCAUUGGUGGAAUCUAGAUAACUUGUCAAAUCGCAUUGAUGGCCCUCUCGCGGGGCUGUUGGGCGAUUGUUCAUUCAAAUCUCUGCCCUAUCAGCUUUCGAUGGUAGUGUAGUGGACUACCAUGGCUAUAACGGGUAACGGGGAAUUAGGGUUCGAUUCCGGAGAGGGAGCCUGAGAAAUAGCUACCACAUCCAAGGAAGGCAGCAGGCGCGCAAAUUACCCACUCCUGACACAGGGAGGUAGUGACGACACGUAACAAUACUGGGCCUUUCAGGUCUAGUAAUUGGAAUGAGUACAAUUUAAAUCCCUUAACAAGGAACAAUUGGAGGACAAGCCCGGUGCCAGCACCCGCGGUAAUUCCGGCUCCAAUAGCGUAUGUUAAAUUUGCUGCAGUUAAAAAGCUCGUAGUUGGAUUUCUUGGUGUGUUCGCACUGCUUACUUUUGCUGUUGGUCGCCCGAGCCAUGGGAGGUGCUGUUCUGCAGUGUCUCUCGUGGUAAAGGUGGCCUCACUUUAGGGGGCAUUGUGCGUCUACCAAACUCCUGGGGGUCAAUGGGUCCCAUUAAGCUCUUUCCUUCCGGUUCCUUCUUGGAGUGGGUCGGAGAGGGUGGGGUCCUUUGCGAACCAGAAGAUUACCUUGAAAAAAUUAGAGUGUCUAAAGCAGGCGCUUGCGCUUUGAAUACAUUAGCAUGGUAUAAUAAAAUAGGGCCUUGUUCUUAUUUAUUGGUUUAAUGGAACAAAGUAAUGAUUGAUAGGGGUGAUUGGGGGUGCUAGUAUUCAGUGGCGAGAGGUGAAAUUCGAAGACCCACUGAAGACUGACUAAAGCGAAAGCAUUCACCAAGGUCACCUUCUUUAAUCAAGAACGAAAGUUGAGGGAUCGAAGACGAUCAGAUACCGUCGUAGUCUCAACUGUAAACGAUACCAACUUAGGAUCGAGA
rnacentral:rRNA from 1 species